GCGGGAGGGGCGCCUCAUCCCUUCACCCUCCCUUUUCGCCAUGUGGGGGCCCUGAGCGCCGCCCCAGAAGAGGUCGAGGGAAUGUUGUGGGCUGGGGCACACCGGCACGGCAGAAACUGGAGAAAGCGAGAGACGUCGCCAGGGACCCAGGGACCUCUCUCUCCAGUUCCCCGGGCCCGCCCGGCCCUGAUGGCCACUCACGCUAUAGCGCCCACUCUGUCCUGGGCCAUCCCGCGCCAGCAGUGUAGCCCCCAGCCCGGGCGCCUGAAUGCUCUCCCUCCGGAUCGCUGCUCGGGUCCCCACUUUGGCGACCGUGCCCCCGAGUCCUGCUUCCCCGGGGCUGCUCUGUAUCAGGCGCCUGCGCCUUCAAGGGUACCCGGCCCGCCUGCCCUCCCCAAGAGCCGAGUUUGCGCUCCUCCCGGAAUCGUUUGAGAGAAGGACAAACUUUUGAGAGGAUGGAAAUCUAGAUGAGCCUGUCCGGAGCAGUUUGAGUCAGAGACCCAUUUCCUUGAGAUGGAGCCAAGCGAGUGCCCCCUCCCGCCUCCAGCACAGUCUCCCGCUCUUCUCCAGUUCCCAAAGGAGGGCAAGGAAAAGGCCCCUACUCUCCUCCCAGGGCUGAGAUUUCCUCCCCCACCCAAGAGAUGCCCCAGGAGGAAGGAAUGGAGAGGUUCUUCAAAGGGCAGUCAAGAGCAGAGGGUGGGUUCAGAGGUCACAGCUGAACUUGGGGCCCAGGACAAGGGGGAAGGGCGGGCCCAGGCCGGUGUAGAAGCUGCGGGGUGGCCUGGGGAAGUGGACAAGGGCAGAGGCCGCUGCAGGUGUUGGGGGGUACCCUGGAGCCCGGGGUGUUCCUGGGCGGGGAGGUUCAGCCAAGCGGCAAGGGUCUGCGCUGUGCCUUUAGUUUUUAGGUUGGGCCCCUCCUGGGGAGCACCCAGCUGCAGGAGCCAGGCAAGUGGCAGAGGACACAUUCGGACUCCUUGGAAAGGGCCAGGAAGCGAUGUGGAUCCCAGGAGAGAAAAUUCCUACGUGGAACAUGUGGUGUUCUGGCCCUUCCUGGGUAGACACCUGCAGAGGCCACUUGGCCCUGCUGGGUCAGAAGCCACAAAUCUGCCCAGGCCUUUGUUUUCGCUAUUCCUGAAGUUUUUCUGCUGUGGCCCAGCACCUGCCCUGGCACCUGCUCGGCAUCUGCUCAUUGGCAAGCCCCGGACGGAGUUGGACUGGCCUAGCUGAGAGGUUUAGGAGGGCUUCCGCUGGCACUGCCAACAGGGAGUUUGGCUUGGUCCCCCAAAAAAAGGGCCUUUGAGAAGGACAUGUCCAGGGGCAGACACAAAAUCCACUGAUACUCAAAACGAAUGUAAACCCUUUUCUUUCCUCACAUCUUGUGGCCCUUCACACCUCUGCAGUUCAGAGGAUUUGGAAUGGAAGGCCUCAUCCAUCCCCAGUCCCAAAGCAAACGUGGGAGCCAGCUUGGGCGUCUUCUUGCAGGCUGCUGGGGCUUUGUGAGCUCUGAGAGAAGAUGUCUGGUCCUCUGCCUACCCCACUCCCCCUUUGAUGAAUGUGGUCCUUUUUGC
rnacentral:lncRNA from 1 species